rnacentral:lncRNA from 1 species
GGGAAACGUGCAGCCUUUGCUAACUUUGAUCCUUGCUCCCUUCUUCCUGGAAACUUGGACUACUGGACAUAUCCUGGCUCUCUGACCACUCCGCCCCUGCUGGAAUGUGUGACCUGGAUAGUGCUCAAGGAACCCAUUACUGUCAGCAGUGAGCAGGUUGGUUUUCUAGGGAGAGUUUUCUUUCAGUGGAGGCAGAAAAGCUGCUCUUCGCAGUCAGGUCUGGGAUUUAAUCCUCCUGUGAUGUCUUACCCUGUGGCUGGUGUCACAGAGUGCUUGGCAGUUAGUAAAGAUUUGCUGGUAUUCGUCAACACCUUCGGCAGUACUCAGAUAGGUUCCUAAUCUGUGAAAGUGUUGGUUAUUGUGAGGAUUAUAUGAGAAUGAUAUCUGCUUAUUAGCUUGUUCUUUUUUUAACAGGCAGGAGGAAAUAGAAGCUUUGAAAAAUGAGAUUUCAUGUUGAAAGUCACAUAGAUGUCAGUGAUAAGUCCCAGCCUCCUGCUCACUGACAUAAGAAUUUAGCUGUCACUUGUGAGUGUGAGAUGUACUUCUGAAUCCUGACAGUCCUCCUGACACUCUGAGCAUAAAGCUGAAAUGUGGGAAAUGGACAUUUCUCGAGAAUGACAAAAGGCAGAUAGAUCCCAGUAAUAUAAAAGACAGUUUUCAGUGACAAUUAUUUGAGUAUCUGUGUAACUUAAACCUGGAACUUUUUGGAAUCAUGAGCAUUCAGACCUGUAAAAUGCAAGAAAGUUCACAUUGCCAGAGUUUA